rnacentral:tRNA from 1 species
GCCCCCGUAGCUCAGCUGGUAGAGCGCCCGGCUGUUAACCGGGAGGUCCCCGGUUCGAAUCCGGGCGGGGGCGCCA